AUGGAUAUGGAACAAGAAAUACCAAAAAAAUUAGGUGUACCUGCUACUCAUGGAGAUGGGGAACCUCCUAAAACCCUCGAUGCUCAAUAUGUGAAAAAUAUUAUGUACCACUUUGAUAAUCCUGAGAAAACCUCAUUCAAUCUGGUAAUGGGAGUAACGUUGGAUCAACGUGAAUACUUUAGGGAUUAUCGCUUGACACAAAAAGGGAAACUAUUAUGGGAUCAAAUUUAUAUAUUGUAUUGGUAUGCUAGGAAACUAUGCUUGAGAUAUGAUUAUACUUGUUGCUCUAGGAUGAAGGCUCCACACCUUCCAUUUUCAUGUGAAUUUAAUGAUCAUGAAACCUUAGCUUCUUAUGCUAAUGGUAUAUAUGAUUACUAUGAUGUGGAACAAAUAGAAGAAUUUGUUUCUUUUAAGGGUGCUUAUGAAAUUGAAUCUUUGUUUGAAAAGUAUGAAGCUUUUGAUGAUGAUGUUUAUAGGCCUGAAAAUUUAGCUAUUCCAAAAUAUUGCUAUGAUAAUUAUGAAUAUAAUUCCUAUAUUAAUGCGCUUAUUAAGAAAGUCUGUGCAAGAAGAGACUAA
rnacentral:rRNA from 1 species